CUCGCCAGCUCGGCCCCGACCGCCCCUGCUCGGCCCCAACCUCAUCUCAUUAGUAUUCAGAGACACAACUAAUUGGUUUCAGUGUUUUAUAUUUUAGGCUCCUUCAGUCAACAAUCAAAACCAUCAUGACACUAUGCAAAAAUAUAGCUCAAAUCAAACCACACCAUCUAGCAAUUUGAAGACUGAAAAUAAACCUCUCUGUUCACGGGAAUCGAGUCACACAGCACAUGCUUCAAUUGCUCCAAACCAAACUGUUUCGAUAGUUUGUCCGUCUGACAACAUGCCUGCUGAAGUUGGUACAUCAGAGAUGCACCAGAUCAAUAGUUCUGAAAAUGCUACCCAGGAGACACAAAUUGAAAAUGUAGCUGAAAAAUCAGCAGAGGAUGGCUAUAAUUGGCGUAAAUAUGGACAAAAGCAUGUCAAGGGAAGUGAAAAUCCUAGAAGUUAUUACAAGUGCACGCAUCCUAAUUGUGAAGUUAAAAAGCUAUUAGAGCGUUCGCUUGAUGGCCAAGUUACUGAAGUUGUUUAUAAAGGGCGUCAUAAUCAUUCUAAGCCCCAACCAAAUAGAAGGUUAGCUGCUGGUGCAGUUCCUUCAAGCCAGGGUGAAGAAAGAUACGAUGGUGUGGCAACUAUUGAAGACAAGCCUUCAAAUAUUUAGACAAUUUUUCUGUAACCAAGUACAUUCAGCUGGCAUGAUUGACACUGUUCCGGGUCCAGCUAGCGAUGAUGAUGUUGAUGCUAGAGGUGGAAGAUCCUACCCUGGGGAUGAUGCUAAUGAUGAUGAUUUGGACUCGAAACGCAGCUAGGAAAAUGGAAUCUGCUGGUAUCGCCGCCGCCCCGGCUCGCCAGCUCGGCCCUGACCGCCCCGGCUCGCCGCCGCCGCACCACCGCCCCGGCUCCGCUAAGCUCGGCCUCGCCGCCGCCACACCAGCAGGCCGCGCCACCAGCAGGCCGCACCACCCCCAGCAGACCGCGCCUCCGCUCAGCUCGGCCUCGGCGCAAGCUCAGCUCACCACCGCCCCACUGCCCCAGCUCGGCCUCGGCGCCACCACCACCCAGCUCGGCCUCGGCUCGCCGUCCGCUGCCCAAGCUCGGCCUCGAUCGGCUCGCCAGCACCGCCGGCCUCGAUCGGCUCGCCAGCGCCACUUAUGUGAAUUUGUGAACUUAUGUAUUUCGACUUAUGUGAAUUUGUGAAUUUGCAGAUGUUGCCAUGGCUAGACCUUCUGACAUUAGGACAGUGCUGGCAUCCUAUCAAGGUCAUGAUGUUGCUGCUAAGUUUAUUGAGCGUUCAAAGGAACACCAGCGGUACUUUAUUGCCCAUGUAUAUAGACAUAACAUAUAUCUAGGUGCAUAGCAAGAUCGAUGUAUCUAGAGAAGCCAUGACGACAUAUAAUUUGGAAUGGAGGGAGUAAUUCUUCAAUGGAAGUGGCUCUAAUUAUAUUAAAGAAAGAUGUUGCGUGUGCAGGAACAGAGCAAACUUGGGCGCUUAUGGCGACGGUGAUGGAUCCUG